CAGGGCCUUGCUCAACAAAUAGAGGCGACGCCCUGACUUGGGGCCGUGGCCACCGCGAUAGGGAGGAGGCCAGUGCGUGGGGACUUGCCUCGACUCCAGGGGAGUGGUUAAAGAAUGUGGGCGUGACUAGGUCGUGGGGCGUGGCCAGUGGGUGGGGUGUAGCAGAUGGGGCAUGGCUAUGCCAUGGGGGCGUGGCCUUUGUGUAUAGGAUUGACGGGGCCUCACAGAGGAUGGGGCGUGGCUAUGUCAUGGGGCGUGGCCUUUGUGUGAAGCUUAGGGCAUAGCAGUGGAGGGGCGUGGCUCGGGCUGGAGGCGUGGUCAUCAGGGGGCGUGGCUCGGGCUCAAGGAGGCAUUCCCGGGCGCUCAGGUGAGCGCUCUCUGGAUCUAACAGUCCUUGGGGAGCCGAUGCCGGUGACCGGGCCGCGGGCAGACACGCAGGCGCCCGGAAGACACAGCAGGGCUGCAGCUGCCCAGCCCUCCCAGCCAUGUGGCGCCCGCUGGUCCUGCCGCCCCUGCUGCUGCUGCUCCCCUGCGCACCCGCCCCCACUGCCAGUCCCAUCCAGGCCGCCAAACCCCAGGACGGCCUGCAGAGCCUACUCCAAGGUUGCCGUCGCCUCUUGUUGGGGUUUGGGGAGAGGAGGAGGAGAGAGAGGAGGGGCGGGGGCAGACAGCAAGAGAGGAAGUCAGAGAGACAGACAGGGAUAUAGGGAGGGGCCCGAGGAACCCAGACAGAGGUACAGCAGGACAGACGAGGGGCAGGAAUAAGGAGAUGGUGGAUGGAAUAGGGACAGGGCAGAGGGAUAGGGACCCAGAUAAGAACAGGGGACAAGAUUGGGGGGUGGACUGGCUCGGCCCUGAGGGUCAGAGCAUCGUGGAAGAGGGUGGAGAGGAAAGGGGGUGGGAGGGACAUGGGGCCCGGCCCGAAGAGGCAUCCAACACUCAGACCACUUUCUGCGAGCCCUCGUGGCACCGGCUGUGGGACAGGGACAGCUGCCUCUCUGCCCCGUGGACCUCAGUGCCUCCCCAGGACUGCCACUGCGCAGAGGACCAGGAGUGCUGGCUGGAGAACAGCACCCCUUCUAGCCAGCACCAGGAAGCCCGUCGCGGAGCCCAACUUGUUCCUCUUCACCAGGUGCCCAAGCUGGAGGAGACGCAGAGCUGGUGGCACUGGCAAAUCCGGCCCCUCACUCUGGCGGUCCUCCCAGGUCGUGAGGUGACUGCCCUGGCGGUGCAGCCAGCAGCCUGGGAGGCAGGCCUGCAGCUCCUUCAGAAGCAUCCAUGGCCACCAGCCUUCUGCGACAGGCUCCUUAAGGGGGCCCUCCUGGCACGGGGACCUGAGGCCUCCCCCGCCCCAAAGGGCCCGCCCCAAGACCCACUUGUUGUCCCUUUCCGGGCUCAGCAGCAGCCGCAGGGGCCGGGGGUGGACAUCAGAGCCCUGGCAGGGGACAGACGUGCACCCUCCCCAGACCCCACCCCAGCGCCACUGAGAAAUCAAGUUCUUUCUCUCAGCCAUCUGCGCUGCUUCCUCUCGGGACCUGUCCCCAGCACCCGGCCGACUGAAACGAUUUCUUUGCUUUUACAAGCUCCUGAGGCAGGAACCGGUCCUGCUUCCUGCUGUGUUGCCUGAUGCUUACCAGAGAGCGUGGCUCACGCUUAGUUCUCAAAAACAGUUCGUUGUGGAGAAUUGAGUUGAGUUGAGUCCACGGCUGACUGGAGGGACGCCCUCUCUGACGCCCUAGCGCCAGGCUUCCACGUCAGUAUUUCCUAAAACGGUGAUCACGUGAGACUGUUUAAAGAUGCUACAGUCCUGUCAUCCUAAUGCUGAAAAUUGAAGAUAGCACUCACAUGGAUGGAGAGUAAGGAAGAAACCUAUCCUGGACAGAUUUUCCUUUCUUCUAGUCUGGUUUUGAUCUGCUGCAAGACUGAUUUGCUGACAAAGGCAUCUCAAAAGGUUCAUUCAUGGUGGAGCCGCCACUCCUGAGGACCUCACCCAGAAUGGAGCUCGCCUGGGGGAAAAAUCCACAAGCCACCCCUACAGAGGCCAGAGCACGGGGCCUGUGUCCAGAGGGAGAAGCAGGUCGCUAGUGUCAGAUGCUAAUGGAUGACUGACUUACAAUCCUUUCUGUCCAGAUGACGGGUUCUAGCCUUUAUGGUUGCGAAGAAACCUGCGUAGGCUCUUACUGCCAUGUGUGCAUGCUCAAGAGGAAGGGGGAGCAGGUUUGGGGUUCACUCAGGAGGAGGGAAACUGCUUUCCGUAAGGAUGAGUGUGGUCCCCGAAGGUGGUAAAGCCAGCAGGGCAGUGGGGCAGUGGUGUGACGGUGAGUGCCAACAACCGGCUCUCUGAGUGAACACAAAGCCCUCAAUGAUAGCAUUUGCCAAUUUCUAUGGUGUCAAUAAGCCUGCUCUGGUCCAUCUAAAGCUACCAAUGUGAUGUGAACCGGCUCACAAAAUCCUUGAAAAGUCAAGAACUGGCUCUCAGGAGCCAGUAGGAGCCACACCUCCAGCCCUCCAUCUUCACAGACGGUGCCGUCUUCUGCUUCUCAUCUCCUCAGACCGUUUGGAACCGACAUCAUCCAGGCCUUCCUGCAAAGACCUGGGGCAGGUGGGAAAGGAUGCUGCAGCCACGGCCAGUGGGUGGAAGGGCUGUUCUGGUGAGAAAAAGCUGACAGGCCUGACGUCUGAAGUUCUGCAGAAGGCAGAUAAAGGACAGAAUCAUAAUUUCACAAUCAUCUGCCUUGAGUCUUAGAAGGCACACUUUAGAGCAGUAAUCGCGAGAGAUCCUGAUAUGGGUCGUUGUGGGUCAAAGCUUCUGUGGAAGGAAAUUGGCGCAGCUGGUCUGGUCUCCUGAAGCUUCUCAUAGAUUUCAGAAAAGGGUCCCCGGGGGUCUGGUCUCCCCUUGAGCAAGUCACUUGGAAUGGAGGGGAGUCACCGCUCUUCAGACCCACUGGAAGGCAGGGGGUUCCCUCUUCCCCAUACCCCUUCGAGGCCACCCUCUGUGGGGCUGAGGUCACCGUAACAGAACGGAGCUCUUCAGAUCUCUUCCGCUCCUCAGAAAAGACCACUCCCCGUGGCCCUGACCCCACUGGUGCACACAGCCAAUGCCUUUUAGGUCACUGGCAUGCAGCUCUUCAACGGAGUUGUGGCAACAGCUCCCUGUGCUUUUUUUCACUAAAGUGUUACUGUUUGCUAUACAUCAGUUUCCAUUGACUAUAUUUGGGAUGCAUGAUGCCCAGUUACCUGAAAAUGAGGUGCCAGGGAUCCGAUUAUUUACAAAAGUGGCCUUCCUCACUGGAAAAUAAAUUGGGAUCUGGAAAAAUCUUAUGCUGUGGGCAACACUUGUCUCCCACACCUCACGUUUCCUGGAAAGGGAUUUUGACAACUUCCAGGAAGUAUGGACUGCCUUCCCAUGCCCUCCGCCCUUUGCUCACCUGGCUGCACAGUGCUGCUGAGCUCACAGAUGGCACUGAGUACUCCAGGCAGACCCCAGCCAGUCUCCCCGAGGGGACAGCCCGUCCUCAGGUCCUUCUCCCUUCCCUCACAGAAGACCCCUGGCUGGCAGGCACACGUGGGCAGCCCAUGUGGUCCCAGCUCCAGGUGGUGCCUCCCAUUCAGUAUUCGUCGUAAUGAAGCUGGUAUUGUCACUUCCACAUGUCUGACUCCUGUGUGUGUGUCUCUGGAUCGCAAACUCAGCACGGGAAGAGAAAGGUGUUGACUGCCUUCCACGGGCCCCCAGAUGUGCGUUGUUAUGGACACUGGCUGCAUACGUGAGUGUCUGCGUCAGCUUCAACAUCUUUGCUCUGCUCCAUCCUCCGCUUCUCCAUAACAACAGGGCCAAAACUAUAAUUGCCCCCAGAACAUGCAGGAUGCGACACCCCCAGACCUACUGACCACCUGGAACAAUCUGGGGUGGGGGGGGAGGCGUGGCUGUUAAACACACAUAUUUAUCCCCACUCCGCCUGAAAACCCACAACAAGGAAUUUAUUUUUUUAAAAGGCUUAGCGAGUGGGCGAAAGUGGCUUAGACCACUUAGUGAGUGGGGCCCUGCGGCUCAGAGGGCGCGGGGUCCCCUCCUGCCGGGUCUCCCCCAGCCCGCUGCGCCCGGGUUGGCCGGCCCCCCAGGCCUAGGACCGCGUCCUAGACGGCAUCUCGGCCGGUGUGACUCGCCCUGCAUCCCAUGCGCGUGGGGCCAGGCUGAGAUGCGGGGUCUGCGGGCUGUCCCAGACCACCAGGGCCCUCUGCCGUCGGGCAGCGGCGCUCCCGUUCUGGAGGGAAACAGGGUAGCAAUCAUGGUCACUGGCAGAUAAUGAAACGCUCCCUUAGAAUGACAGCGACCAUGGGCGGGAG
ensembl:lncRNA